UAGGGAAUCUUCGGCAAUGGGGGGAACCCUGACCGAGCAACGCCGCGUGAGUGAAGAAGGUUUUCGGAUCGUAAAGCUCUGUUGUUAAGGAAGAACGAGUGUGAGAAUGGAAAGUUCAUGCUGUGACGGUACUUAACCAGAAAGGGACGGCUAACUACGUGCCAGCAGCCGCGGUAAUACGUAGGUCCCGAGCGUUGUCCGGAUUUAUUGGGCGUAAAGCGAGCGCAGGCGGUUAGAAAAGUCUGAAGUGAAAGGCAGUGGCUCAACCAUUGUAGGCUUUGGAAACUGUUUAACUUGAGUGCAGAAGGGGAGAGUGGAAUUCCAUGUGUAGCUGUGAAAUGCGUAGAUAUAUGGAGGAACACCGGUCGCGAAAGCGGCUCUCUGGUCUGUAACUGACGCUGAGGCUCGAAAGCGUGGGUAGCGAACAGG
rnacentral:rRNA from 1 species